CGUAUAGGGGAGCCGAAGGGAAACCGAGUCUUAAUUGGGCGUUAAGUUGCAGGGUAUAGACCCGAAACCCGGUGAUCUAGCCAUGGGCAGGUUGAAGGUUGGGUAACACUAACUGGAGGACCGAACCGACUAAUGUUGAAAAAUUAGCGGAUGACCUGUGGCUGGGGGUGAAAGGCCAAUCAAACCGGGAGAUAGCUGGUUCUCCCCGAAAGCUAUUUAGGUAGCGCCUCGUGAAUUCAUCUCCGGGGGUAGAGCACUGUUUCGGCUAGGGGGCCAUCCCGGCUUACCAACCCGAUGCAAACUGCGAAUACCGGAGAAUGUUAUCACGGGAGACACACGGCGGGUGCUAACGUCCGUCGUGAAGAGGGAAACAACCCAGACCGCCAGCUAAGGUCCCAAAGUCAUGGUUAAGUGGGAAACGAUGUGGGAAGGCCCAGACAGCCAGGAUGUUGGCUUAGAAGCAGCCAUCAUUUAAAGAAAGCGUAAUAGCUCACUGGUCGAGUCGGCCUGCGCGGAAGAUGUAACGGGGCUAAACCAUGCACCGAAGCUGCGGCAGCGAACGUAUCACUUAAAGCGAUUCAGCGGGUUACGAUUGACGGAGCGAAGCGACGUCAAAGCGUAUACAAAGUCGAGUCGGUUUAAGGAUACGUUCGUUGGGUAGGGGAGCGUUCUGUAAGCCUGUGAAGGUGUGUCGUGAGGCAUGCUGGAGGUAUCAGAAGUGCGAAUGCUGACAUAAGUAACGAUAAAGCGGGUGAAAAGCCCGCUCGCCGGAAGACCAAGGGUUCCUGUCCAACGUUAAUCGGGGCAGGGUGAGUCGACCCCUAAGGCGAGGCCGAAAGGCGUAGUCGAUGGGAAACGGGUUAAUAUUCCCGUACUUGGUGUUACUGCGAAGGGGGGACGGAGAAGGCUAUGUUGGCCGGGCGACGGUUGUCCCGGUUUAAGCGUGUAGGUGUGUGUUCCAGGUAAAUCCGGUUCACUUUAACACUGAGGCGUGACGACGAGGCACUACGGUGCUGAAGCAACAAAUGCCCUGCUUCCAGGAAAAGCCUCUAAGCAUCAGGUAACAUCAAAUCGUACCCCAAACCGACACAGGUGGUCAGGUAGAGAAUACCAAGGCGCUUGAGAGAACUCGGGUGAAGGAACUAGGCAAAAUGGUGCCGUAACUUCGGGAGAAGGCACGCUGACACGUAGGUGAAGUGAUUUACUCAUGGAGCUGAAGUCAGUCGAAGAUACCAGCUGGCUGCAACUGUUUAUUAAAAACACAGCACUGUGCAAACACGAAAGUGGACGUAUACGGUGUGACGCCUGCCCGGUGCCGGAAGGUUAAUUGAUGGGGUCAGCGCAAGCGAAGCUCCUGAUCGAAGCCCCGGUAAACGGCGGCCGUAACUAUAACGGUCCUAAGGUAGCGAAAUUCCUUGUCGGGUAAGUUCCGACCUGCACGAAUGGCGUAAUGAUGGCCAGGCUGUCUCCACCCGAGACUCAGUGAAAUUGAACUCGCUGUGAAGAUGCAGUGUACCCGCGGCAAGACGGAAAGACCCCGUGAACCUUUACUAUAGCUUGACACUGAACAUUGAGCCUUGAUGUGUAG
rnacentral:rRNA from 1 species